CUUCUUUAUCACCGAGUGCUUGCACUCACCGAUAAAGAGUUGAGUGGCGAACGGGUGAGUAACACGUGGGCAACCUGCCCAAAAGAGGGGGAUAACACUUGGAAACAGGUGCUAAUACCGCAUACCAUAGUUACCGCAUGGUAANUAUGUAAAAGGUGGCUAUGCUACCGCUUUUGGAUGGGCCCGCGGCGCAUUAGCUAGUUGGUGAGGUAAAGGCUUACCAAGGCAAUGAUGCGUAGCCGAACUGAGAGGUUGAUCGGCCACAUUGGGACUGAGACACGGCCCAAACUCCUACGGGAGGCAGCAGUAGGGAAUCUUCCACAAUGGGCGAAAGCCUGAUGGAGCAACGCCGCGUGGGUGAAGAAGGUCUUCGGAUCGUAAAACCCUGUUGUUAGAGAAGAAAGUGCGUGAGAGUAACUGUUCACGUUUCGACGGUAUCUAACCAGAAAGCCACGGCUAACUACGUGCCAGCAGCCGCGGUAAUACGUAGGUGGCAAGCGUUAUCCGGAUUUAUUGGGCGUAAAGGGAACGCAGGCGGUCUUUUAAGUCUGAUGUGAAAGCCUUCGGCUUAACCGGAGUAGUGCAUUGGAAACUGGGAGACUUGAGUGCAGAAGAGGAGAGUGGAACUCCAUGUGUAGCGGUGAAAUGCGUAGAUAUAUGGAAGAACACCAGUGGCGAAAGCGGCUCUCUGGUCUGUAACUGA
rnacentral:rRNA from 2 species